rnacentral:rRNA from 1 species
GAUGAACGCUGGCGGCGUGCCUAAUACAUGCAAGUAGAACGCUGAAGGAAGGAGCUUGCUCUUUCCGGAUGAGUUGCGAACGGGUGAGUAACGCGUAGGUAACCUGCCUGGUAGCGGGGGGUAACUAUUGGAAACGAUAGCUAAUACCGCAUAACAGUAGAUGUUGCAUGAUAUCUACUUAAAAGGUGCAAUUGCACCACUACCAGAUGGACCUGCGUUGUAUUAGCUAGUUGGUGAGGUAACGGCUCACCAAGGCGACGAUACAUAGCCGACCUGAGAGGGUGAUCGGCCACACUGGGACUGAGACACGGCCCAGACUCCUACGGGAGGCAGCAGUAGGGAAUCUUCGGCAAUGGACGGAAGUCUGACCGAGCAACGCCGCGUGAGUGAAGAAGGUUUUCGGAUCGUAAAGCUCUGUUGUAAGAGAAGAACGAGUGUGAGAGUGGAAAGUUCACACUGUGACGGUAGCUUACCAGAAAGGGACGGCUAACUACGUG